UCAAUUCCACCCCAAAGUGUCAACCAAAAAAUUUAUUCGGCUCUUGCAACAGUUGCUCACCGGAUUUUUUUUCUAGAAUAACACAACAUAUGGCCUUACCAUAUUUCUUGUAUAAAACAUGAACUGAAGAACAACCACGAUCCAAUAUAUCGCAACAAUGAGAAGCCAUGGAGUUCAAGAAAAGAAUUAUGACGAGAUUAGUUUUCGAUUUUCAUUUCCAGAGACAGUGGAAUGAACUGUUAUCCUUUUGUAAAGUUCAAAAAACUUUUUCAGUAUUCCAUUAAUAGCAAAGAGUCCAGUAAGGUUAGUAUUCACUUUGUUAUUGCAAAUAACCACAAAGCACGAUAAAAAAAAAUUGAACUUCACAAAAUGUAAAAUUCGCACAAUCAAAAUGUUAAGAUACACUAUUAACCAUGUAAUUUGUGUUAUAAUAUUAUAUUUUCAUCCCAUGUAAACAUUAUUUAUUAUAUUAAUAGAAUCUUUAUUUAAAUAAAUCAUUGUGUUAACAUGUGUGUCCUUUGCUUAUAUAGUAGACAAUUUUGUGUAUAGAGUAUUUUAACUCACGCGCGAAAAAUUAAAAUUGUCGGUUCUUACAAGUAAUAAAUUAACAUACACAAUCAAAGAUGAGGUAGAACAAACAUGUAGCACAAGAUUAAAUAUAAUUUGAUCUUAAUUAUGGGAGUGGUAAUAUUCCAACUUCUUGUGCUAGUACAUUUCGUAUGUAUUGAACGGACCAAUUAGAGAUAUUCGUUUAUAUUCUGAAUAUUAAUAAACGAUUUCUCUAGUCCAUUGCAUGUACUUAUACUCUUAAUCUUGAUAUAAUUAUUAUGAUCUAUAUGAUUUGUUUUGUCAUUUUAAUCUAUUAAAAGAUGAGACUCUUUUGUGAGUCAACAUAUUCCUGAUAGGUUGGAUGAUGACGAAUUACUUAGUGAAAUAUUAAUUAGUUGAUAGAACCAUGUUUUGAACUUGAGAUAGAAGACACCCCUUUAUGGUUGCUUAUAAGUUUUCACGUGAAAAUCCUGCAGGUCGAUUUUGUAUCCGUCAUGUGGAAUAAGUUAAGCAUUAUAAAUAAAGGAUUAAAUUAAUUAAUGAGUUAAAUUUUUCAGAAAAUUUAAAAUUUAUUGAUUAGUGUCGGUUAUUCUAACAUGGGGAGUUAAAUAAGAUGUAAUGGUAGAUUUCGAAAUUAAAAUCAAAGAGUGCAAUUACAAAUUUUUAGUGGAAUAAUUUAUAAUUUAUUAUGAUAUGAUAAUAAUAAAUAGAAGUCUUGACGAGUGCAUUUAUAUGGCACAACCAGAAGGUUUCAUGGAAAGUGGUAAUGAACGUAAGUUUUGUAAACUUAAGAAAUCCAUUUAUGGUUUGAAACAAGCAUCUAUAGCAUGGAAUACUUGUUUUGAUAAUUCGAUUAAGACUUUUAAUUUUGAUCAAUGUGAAAAUGAGUCAUGCAUUUAUAAAAAAUGGGAUGGAGAUAGAGUAACAUUUUUUAUUCUGUACAUAGAUGAUAUUUUGCUCAUAGGAAAUAAUGUGAGCAUGUUGAAUUCUGUUAAGGAGUGGCUGUCCUCACAUUUUGAUAUGAAAGACUUAGGAGAAGCGGCUCAUAUCCUUGGGAACAAGCUUAUAGAGAUUGCAAACAAAGGAUAUUAAGUUUAUCUCAAGCAUUUUAUAUUGAUACUAUUCUUGCAAGAUUUAGCAUGCAAAAUUUCAAAAAGGGAUUUCUUCCUUUUAGGCAUGGAAUUACUCUAUCAAAAGACCAGUCGCCUAAAACGACCAAUGAGAUAGAGAGAAUGAAGGCGGUUCCUUAUGCUUUUGUUGUAGGGAGCCUCAUGUAUGCUAUGUUGUGCUCUAGACCAGAUAUCUGCUUUGCUGUUGGCAUGGUUAGCAGAUUUCAAUCUAAUCCCGGAUAAGAACAUUGAACUGCGAUUAAGCAUAUAAUCAAGUACCUUAAAAGGACUAGGGAUUACAUGCUUGUUUUUUACUUUGGAGAUCUUGUACUUAUUGGGUAUACUGAUUCAGAUUUUCAGUUGGAUAAAGAUUCUAGAAAAAUCUACCUUAGGAUAUGUGUUUACUUUAGGAGGUGGAGCCAUUGUUUAGAGGAGUAUCAAGCAAUCAUGUGUUGUUGAUUCCACCAUGGAAGCUGAAUAUGUAGCUGCCUCUGAGGUGGCUAAAGAGGCUAUUUGGCUCGGUAACUUUUUGAAAGAGCUUGGAGUUGUUCCUUCGGUUCAAAUACCACUACCACUUUAUUGUGACAAUAAUGGUGCAGUUACGAACUCGAAAGAACCACCAAUCCAUGAAAGAAGUAAGCAUAUUGAGAGAAAAUAUCACUUGAUUCGAGAUAUAACUCAAAGGGGUGAUGUGAGAGUUUUGAAGAUUGAGUCGAAGAAUAAUUUGGCAGACCCAUUUACAAAGGGCUUAACCCAAAAGGUUUUUGAUAAGCAAGUGGAAGAAAUGGGUGUUAAAAUUGUGCAUUCAUGGUUAUAAGUCUAAGUGGGAGAUUGUUAGGAUAUACUAUUAACCAUGUAAUUUAUGUUAUAGUAUUAUAUUUUCAUCCCAUGUAAAGACUAUUUAUUAUAUUAAUAGAAUCUUUAUUUGAAUAGAUCAUUGUGUUAAUAUGUAUGUCCUUUGCUUAUAUAGUAGCCAAUUUUGUGUAUGAAGUAUUUUAACUCAUGCACGGAAGAUUAAAAUUAUUGGUUCUUAUAAGUAAUAAAUUAAUGUUCAUAAUCAAAGAUGAGGUAUGACAAACAUCUUGAUGAUUGUAGCACAAGAUUAAAUAUAAUUUGAUCUUAAUUAUGGGAGUGGUAAUAUUUCAACUUCUUAUGCUACUACAUUUCGUAUGUAUUGAAUGGAUCAAUUAGAGAUAUUCAUUUAUGUUUUGAAUAAUAAUAAACGGUUUCUCUAGUCCAUUACAUGUACUUAUACUCUUAAUCUUGAUAUAAUUAUUAUGAUCUAUAUGGUUUGUUUUGUCAUUUUAAUCUAUUGAAUGGUGAGACUCUUUUAUGAGUCAACAUAUUCCUGAUAGGUUGGAUGAUGACGAAUCACUUAGUGAAAUAUUAAUUAGUUGAUAGAACCAAAUCUCAAACUUGAGAUAGAAGACACCCCUUUAUGGUUGCUUAUAAGUUUUCACGUGAAAACCCUGUAGGCGAAUUUUAUAUCCAUCAUGUGAAAUAAGUUAAGCAUUAUAAAUAAAGGAUUAAAUUAAUAAAUGAGUUAAAUUUUUUAGAAAAUUUUAUUUAAUUGAUUGGUGUCUGUAAUUCUAACAAUGGAAGUUAAAUAAGAUGUAUGGUAGAUUUCAAAAUUAAAUCGAGGAGUGCAAUUACAAAUUUUUAGUGUAAUAAUUUGUAAUUUAUUAUGAUGAUAAUUCUUUCAUCACCGAAUUAAUAUCUUAAUUGGAAGCCUCACUUAAUAAAUCUGUGUUUCCUGUUAUACCUGAUUAACUAAUCAAUUUUGGAAAAGAAAAAGGAACUUACUAGAAGAAGUAAUAUUAUUUACUUGUCUUCAGGAAGGAAAAUAAUAUCUUCUGACUUUAAUUAGUUGAAAAUGUUUUGGACAACUAAAGAGGCCUAAAAAUAUUUGCCUCUUGAUUUUCCCUUAUUUAUGAGAAAACAAGAAUAAAUAGGGUUUAGGGUUCAGAAGAUAAAGAGAUUUUUCCAUCUUUUCUUUGAGUUCAAAAAUACUUGCCCACACAAGUUUGAUUAAAAAAAAAAAGGUUAAGUCAGGCAGUAGUAGAAGACUGUAGAAUUGGAGGCCAAGACAUUGAACGAUAUUUGUGAAAGCUUCAAGAAGUAAGUUUUUUGAUUUUUGUUUUGGUUAUGUUAUCUAGGCAUUAUGUAAGUUAUUGAUCCUGUAGAAUUAUUUCUUCCGUUGUGCAUGUUCUAACACAAAAUUCAUACAACUUUUGAUAUUUUCGAAUGCAAAUUAAGACCUGUAAAAAUAAAUAACAUGGCUCUAAUACCAAUAAACAAUCUAAUCAAAUGCAAAAUUUGCAGGAUUAUUCAAUAUUGUUUCACUAGUCAGACAGUGUAAUCACAUAUAUAUAUAAAUACGAACUAUACCAAAUAGUCACAAACGAUAAUCGCGUACUUGUAAUAGAAGUUUGUUCUUGAUUUCAGGGAAGAAUCUUCAAUAGAAUCUUUCACAAGAACCUGAGAGAGAAACAAGGAGAAAUCCUUUGGUUCAACAUUUGUUUUUCUA
rnacentral:lncRNA from 1 species